GAUUUACUGACUGCUGCGGGUCGAGGAAGAAAUGCAGCUGGGGAAGAAGACAAGAAAAGGAGGGUGUGGCAUGAUAAAGCUGUUGGCUGAUAGGGAUCUGAAACCGGGAAUCAUGCAGCCCCCUGGCACAUACACAAAGUGCUGUGUUCUCAUUUUAUCUGAUGCUGCUCAGCCCCAACUUCCUACCGACUUCACUCCUCUGUCCUCUCAUGGCACGUGUCCAUAAACAUCAGGUGCUCUGCAGGUUCAAGACAUGAACUGAAGUCCUGACAUCUUCCUGAAUUUGUCCGGAGGGGCUUUAUGUGAGAACCCAAAUGGCCAUAAAAUGUUGCUCAGGACAUCUCCCACCUUUCCUGCCAGAAUUCUGUAGAAUGUACAUGUGUGAAUACAGAAGGAAAAUCUCCAGAAAAUUCACAGUGAGCAUGUGGGUGUGCUGAUGACUGUGAAAAAAAAAUGCUUUCUGCAGCGAAAUUUUCAUCAUGUCCUGCCUCCUGCUUGCUCUACCAAGAUGCCACAGUACAUGCGAGUUCAAGUCUGAAAACAUCUCAAGUCUUUUGAACUACUGCAGAUAUGAGAAGAUGCUUGACUUUACCAUACUUCAUAUCUGAAAGCGUUGUCUGUCCUCAUCAUGUGACUGCGUUACACGUUGAGACAUAGCAGUGCUCAGUGCAUGGCGUUAAGAUAGAAUCAAGCCUGUUUAGACAUGCAGAUGUAAAUGGCCCCCUACUUGUGCAUGUGCCUUGGGGCAAAAAAAGAUCUUGACAAUGCCUCACUGUUUGAUGUUCUUUUUGUCUCCCUCAUUGUUGUUAUCUUCAAAUGUCAUUUUGAUCGCAUCCUGCAGGAUCAACCUUUGUAUCUGCCCUUUAACUGUGUCUUGUGAUCAUUGCCCUAUUCACUCCAAUUGCUAUUUUCAGCCUAGAUACAGUAUGUAACAGGGGUAGUAUAUGCUGAGGUUUUACUUUAACGUAGUCAGCUGCUGUGUCCUGCAUGCUUUUCUUCAAGCCCAAAUUUUCUUCAAGCUAAAAUCCACAAGAGUUUUCUUAAAAAAUGUAUUUUGUAGAGAAGAUUAUCGUUAGAAGAUUUGAGUGUAGAUGGUAAGACUGAAAAUAUUUUCUGCGAUUGAGCUUUUUUGUCCCGUCUCUAUAAGUUGGUUAGUCUAGAUGUUGAAUCCAGAGUCAUCACACAUGAUCAUUUGACAUCCACUUAUAUCAAGUACAGUAUAUCAAAUAGAUGCUGUAGCUGUUUAAGCGAAAUAACAACAGGUGAAAACAACACAAGUAGUGUGAAUGCUUUUGCAUUAUUGCUGUAGUUUUAAUUUCCUCCCACCAACAUCUGGAAAGUAAUGGCUUUCACGUUUAACGUUUCUACACUCACAAGGUUGCACUCAAAUCCAUCACAAUCAGAGUAUGUCAGAUGUUUGAAAUGCUUUGUUUCCCUCAAUCAAUGUAUGAAAACUAUUACUAUAAUGUAAUAACUGGAAUCUAAUAAAUCUAAGAAAUGUAAUCUGAAAAGACGUUUAUGAAUUUAAAUAAACCCGACUUAAUUAAUCAUGAAUUAAUUUACUUUCGCUCUGACCCCAACAUGGCGGCACGUUUCUCUUUUGUUGCCAUCAGCAUGACAAAGGUAGAGAUGAGAGUGUUUCU